AUUGAACGCUGGCGGCAGGCCUAACACAUGCAAGUCGAGCGGAUGAAGGGAGCUUGCUCCUGGAUUCAGCGGCGGACGGGUGAGUAAUGCCUAGGAAUCUGCCUGGUAGUGGGGGAUAACGUCCGGAAACGGGCGCUAAUACCGCAUACGUCCUGAGGGAGAAAGUGGGGGAUCUUCGGACCUCACGCUAUCAGAUGAGCCUAGGUCGGAUUAGCUAGUUGGUGGGGUAAAGGCCUACCAAGGCGACGAUCCGUAACUGGUCUGAGAGGAUGAUCAGUCACACUGGAACUGAAAAACGGCCCAGACCCCUACGGGAGGCAGCAGUGGGGAAUUUUGGACAAGGGGGGAAAGCCUGAUCCAGCCAUGCCGGGGGUGUGAAGAAGGUCUUCGGUUUGUAAAGCACUUUAAGUUGGGGGGAAGGGAAGUAAGUUAAAACCUUGCUUUUUUGACUUUACCAACAAAAUAAACACCGGCAAACUUCGU
rnacentral:rRNA from 1 species